rnacentral:rRNA from 1 species
AUUGAACGCUGGCGGCAUGCCUUACACAUGCAAGUCGAACGGCAGCAUGAUCUAGCUUGCUAGAUUGAUGGCGAGUGGCGAACGGGUGAGUAAUACAUCGGAACGUGCCCUGUAGCGGGGGAUAACUAGUCGAAAGAUUAGCUAAUACCGCAUACGACCUGAGGGUGAAAGUGGGGGACCGCAAGGCCUCAUGCUAUAGGAGCGGCCGAUGUCUGAUUAGCUAGUUGGUGAGGUAAAGGCUCACCAAGGCGACGAUCAGUAGCUGGUCUGAGAGGACGAUCAGCCACACUGGGACUGAGACACGGCCCAGACUCCUACGGGAGGCAGCAGUGGGGAAUUUCGGACAAUGGGCGAAAGCCUGAUCCAGCAAUGCCGCGUGUGUGAAGAAGGCCUUCGGGUUGUAAAGCACUUUUGUCCGGAAAGAAAUGGCUCUGGUUAAUACCUGGGGUCGAUGACGGUACCGGAAGAAUAAGGACCGGCUAACUACGUG